AUAUUCACCUUACCUCCAAAUGAUAGAACAAGCGAGUUUGUAGCGAGUUUCUGAAAAGACACGUUAAUAUGUUAAUACUGUGAACAAUACAGGUAAUAAAUAUUAGUUACACACAUAGAUCUAACUCGGUCACAAGGCGAGGUCGCAUGCGCACACGUGACAAAUCAACUCUACCGACAAAACGUUUAGUAUUUUAUAAUUUACUUGUUAGAUGGAAAUGUAUUUGUGUGUUUUUGUAAUUUUAAUUAGUGCUGUUUGUGCACAGGAUUGCAAGACAAGUGGACAGACGUGUGGUAACUACGAACAAUGUUGCGGCGGAUGCUGUUAUGAAGGACAUUGCAUUGAUACGUACAGAUCGUGUUUGCAGAGUUUCGAUGUGUGUCGUGACCAUGCCUGCAUUGGUGAGGAGAACUGUGUUGAGUACCGACCGCCAGGCUGCCUUCGAUGUGAACCAUUGCCAAUUUGUCGGGUAUAAGUUAAGCUAUGUUACCGUUUUGGGAUAUCGAAAUCGAAAUUUGUUUCGUAAGCGGUAAUGAGAAGGGAAAAUCAUACUAAAUUAUGCUUCCUAAUCAUAAGAGGCUUGUUAUAAGAUUGAAUUAAAAAAUAUAAUAUGUUCAUAUAUAAUGUAUAUAAACAUUAGUGGUUUAAAUAAAGCUUUGUGAAAGCUAUCAGUAGAAGUUUUCCGAACUGAUAUGACUUCGGGGUUUUCCAGAAAAGAGUGUUCCUUGAAGGCCGGCAACAAUCACGUAAGUUUCGUUUAUUUGUUCAUGGGCGGCAGUUGGCACGUUUAAUUUUCAACUGUAUAAGUAGUUUAGCUAAGCUAUAAAUUAGUAAUGUUAAUUACCGUAAAUGGUCAUAAACCGGUAUUAAGUACCGGUUUUGAUAAUAUUCAUAUACUUUUCGUAUAUAGUUUAGACUAAUUAGUUUAACUUGCUCGUAUCGGUUAUAACUUGUUUUGUUUGUUAUUUUCAAUUAAUGGUUUUAUAUUAAAGCAAUGUCUUGUUAAAGUUUUUUUUCUUCAAAGUUUCAUUUCUAUGUAUAUUCCGAUAUUUUUAGGAAGUAAGUGAUCGGCAAUCUACGCCAACAAAAACGAUUCCUCUUAAGUAUUUUAUGGUUACCAACACGCCACAAAGAUUUUGUUUAUAACUAGACAAAAACAAUAGAAUUUGCGCUAGUACAGGAAUUAAUUUUAAUGAUGUGUAUGGACUAUUGCAAGGUAUUAAGUUCCUUUAUUUUGUAGUAUUUUAUCCGCCCUAUCCGCAAACAGUCGAUUUUCCACACGUUCCCAAUUUUUAUAUUUUAGUGAUAUUU